CUCAUUAAAUCAGUUAUAGUUUAUUUGAUGGUCUCUUUGUCUUUUUUUUACCUACUUGGAUAACCGUGGUAAUUCUAGAGCUAAUACAUGCGCAAGGUCCCGAGCGCGGGGGGGCAGGGCUUCACGGCCCUGUCCUUGCAUGCGUAGCGGGGAUGUAUUUAUUAGGGUUAAACAACCAGCAUUUUUCAUCAUCUGGUGAUUCAUAGUAACUCUUUCGGAUCGCAUUCAUG
rnacentral:rRNA from 1 species